ensembl:lncRNA
CAUCACACAACUGGGGAUUGACUCCGCAUCCCCUUUUCACAGCCUGCACAUAAGUAGGAGGGUCUGAAGAGCGUGAUGCACCAGCUGCGGGUGAAACAGAUGUCCUGCUCUGACUGGACGCUGUAGGCAUAUUCAUCGGCCUGGACGGCUGCCUGACUCAACGUCGCCUCUUUGUUUUCACUAAGAUGCAUCACAAUUCUUUCAGCCGGGCUGUUUUCAACUUUAGCCGAGCAACCUCUACAGACUCUGAGAACUCGGGAGACGACCGUGCAUACUUUGGCAGAGUUUGAGGCACUGGAGCUUCCCCAUCUCAAACACUGCCCUUUGGCCUUGCUGGCGAGAGAUUCUCUACAGGGCCCUCAUCCUUCUCAUCCUCUGUUUCCACAUCCUCCACAGCCAUAACUCCUGCCCUAGACACUCAAUAAAUAGCUUUUGAUCACCAUUACCAACUUCUCUUUACGAGCCUGUUUUUCAACUGUAAGAUUGUAGUGGUCCGCUAGCGCUAACAAAUCCACCUUACGCAGGUUAAACAGUAAACCCAACGAGGGCUCCGAAAUAAAGCCUGCCACA